GCAUGCGCCAGUUUUAGCGGCCGUCUGCGCAUGCGCCAGUUUUAGCGGCCGUCUGCGCAUGCGCCAAAAUUAGCGGCCGUCUGCGCAUGCGCCAAAAUUAGCGGCCGUCUGCGCAUGCGCCAGUUUUAGCGGCCGUCUGCGCAUGCGCCAAAAUUAGCGGCCGUCUGCGCAUGCGCCAAAAUUAGCGGCCGUCUGCGCAUGCGCCAGUUUUAGCGGCCGUCUGCGCAUGCGCCAGUUUUAGCGGCCGUCUGCGCAUGCGCCAAAAUUAGCGGCCGUCUGCGCAUGCGCCAAAAUUAGCGGCCGUCUGCGCAUGCGCCAGUUUUAGCGGCCGUCUGCGCAUGCGCCAAAAUUAGCGGCCGUCUGCGCAUGCGCCAGUUUUAGCGGCCGUCUGCGCAUGCGCCAAAAUUAGCGGCCGUCUGCGCAUGCGCCAGUUUUAGCGGCCGUCUGCGCAUGCGCCAGUUUUAGCGGCCGUCUGCGCAUGCGCCAGUUUUAGCGGCCGUCUGCGCAUGCGCCAAAAUUAGCGGCCGUCUGCGCAUGCGCCAGUUUUAGCGGCCGUCUGCGCAUGCGCCAAAAUUAGCGGCCGUCUGCGCAUGCGCCAAAAUUAGCGGCCGUCUGCGCAUGCGCCAGUUUUAGCGGCCGUCUGCGCAUGCGCCAAAAUUAGCGGCCGUCUGCGCAUGCGCCAGUUUUAGCGGCCGUCUACGCAUGCGCCAAAAAGUAUAUUAUUUAGCGGCAGAUUUCGGCGCGGUCAGCGCAUGCGUCCAGCUUCAGGCAUGGGAUGCGGCUGUGCACUUGGGCGCGUGCAAUUCCACAGACGCUGCAACUGGAUUUUAUAAAGAUAUAAGAAAAGAAUGCUUUCGUUGUGGAUGUAUUUGACAUGAACAGGGAAGCUGGGGCAGAAGAACGAGGAGCUGUACUCUCUGGGUGAAGGAGGAUUUGGGGCAGUGUUUGCAGGCUAUUGACCUGAGGACCUACUGCAUGGACAACUGAAGAACCUCCCCCUGGAAGUGGCACUCAUGCACAUGGCUGGUGUUGACUCAUUCAUUGCUGGAGGGACCUCAAGCUUCUCCAUAGAGCUGCUGGACUGGUCUAAGCUUCAGGACGAGGUCGUGUCGGUGAUGGAGCCUAUGCUCCAAUGCUCUGCUUGGAGCUCUUCGAUUACAUCCAGGCCAGCGGAUGCCUGCAGGAGGAAUAAGCCAAGGUACUUCUAAAGUAGCUAAUCGAAGACAUGAUUGAGGUCCAAGCCAGAGGGGCUCUGCACUGUGACCUCAAGCCAUAGAACAUCCUGGUUCAGAUGUAGUUAGGAACCACGCCUUCAUCUUCUGUUCUUCUGGACCUUCCUCAAGAGUGGUUUACCCAUGAGGCCAAAUCCUCCAGUGUUGCAGAUAGGAAUCAUCCUGCUGUGUGUGAGAGGUGACCCUUCAACCCCAGCACGGAGAUCACCUCAAAGAAGUCUCAGAUCAUCUCUCCACCAUCUGCUCUACGACCCCUGGCUAAGUAUACACCACGACACAGCCACCACAUCAGGCACACCUCAGUCAGGUACCCUGUAAAACCAUAAUAAUAAUAAUAAUAAAUCUAUAUUUUCAAUCUCUAGUUUAGAGUGUUCUCUAGUAGAGCUGGGCGAUUAAUCGAUUUUAUCGAUUAAUUCGAAUUUACAGUUAAGGACAAUGUGUUUUUAUGAAAAUCGAUUUUUCUCUGAGUUUUCAUUUUCACCACAGACACUCCUCUGUGGGCACAGAGUGAGCUUAGCUAGCUCCCUCCCUCCCUCCCUCCCUAUUUGUUUUUAAGGGUGUGUUUAUUUAUUUAUUUUUUAAGUUUGAGGGUGCAUUGUGUCAGUACCUAAACUAUGUUGGAGAAAGCUUUCUAAAAGUUACUAGAUGUUCUCUUUUUUUUGCUUGUUUCUGGUUGUACUUUAACCACAAAGGGAACAUUUUAAGUGAAAACAAAUUAAAUAAGAACUAGUUUUUAACCAUUUCUUUAUCAUCUUUAGUUUGAUUUUUAGUAGGGGGAAAAAUCGAUUUAAAUCGAAAAUUGGAUUUUUAAAAAAAUAUUCAAAGAUUUAUUUUUUGGGCCAUAUCGCCCAGCUCUAUUCUCUAGUUUAGAGUUUUUUUAUAAAACACACCUAAGGAAAAUAGCAGGUAUUAAUAAAGCUAUUGAUUCCAUAGUUUUUAAAAGGUAAUGAUUUUCUUUAACUAUAUAAAUGUUUUAAUUGUUUUGUGAUUGUAUGCUUUUAAUUGCUUCCUGUUUUGUAUUUGUGUUCAUGUACUUAAGGCUUUAAUCCUUUUAUCGUGAUAUUGUUUAUCUUUUGAUGUUUAUUAAUUACUUAACUGUAUUUAUCUUUAUGUAGUAUACUGUUAGUGUUUUAAUCCAUACACUUUUUGUAUACAUUUCUUUUAUUGCUUAGUUACUUGGUUUAUUAAUGGUUAUUGUAUUGGUGUUUUAGUCUUAUUUUGGGCUCAUAUUCAUUAAAAACAUUUUAACGUUUGUCUUUUAGUGCUUUAAUCAAUUAAUAUUGUACUUACCUUUUACUAUUGUACUAUUAAUCUUUCUGUACUUAAUUCUGAUAUUUAUACUUUUUUUUUCUUGCAGCUUUGUAUUACAUUCUUUAUUAAUUGUAUGUCUUUAUACGGGAAUUUAUAUUUGCAUUGUAUAUAUUUUUGUUUCAUUUAACGUUUAUGCUCUUUGUCUUUUUCAGAUUUUUACAUUUUUCAGUUUGUGUAUUGACCCAAGGAGGAUGGGUUCCUCUCAAGGUUUCUAUCUCUCUUUCUGAGAGAAUUUUCUUUGCCGCUGUCUAUUUUGUGCUUACUCAAAAGAGGUUUGGACACUUUUUUUUUUUUAACUGUUCUUAAUUUUUUUAAUGACUGUACAUUUCUUUGUCAAUAAAUGUUUUUU